UAUACGCGUAAGAUCGAUUGCUAAGCGCGCGCGCGGGAAGAUGGACGUACUUCGGCAUACAAACCAUACGGCGGCGUUCGGCCAAUGCCCAACUGACCUAGUGACCUACUAAUCGAAUUUAGCGGGAAUAAGAAUUGGCGGGGGUUGCGGCGGGCGGUGGCAAGCGGCACAGUACAAGGCCAAGGCCGCACGCGCCGCCGUUAUGGCUGAAAUUAAUGUGCCUACAUUUCAUUUAUUUAAAUUCAAAUUUAUGGGAAUUUAAUAAAAAAUUAAGUACCUAUUUUUUUUACAAAUUUCGAAUGAAAGUCAUGUAGGUACUGAGUAUCCUCCUUAAAUAUUGAUAGUAAUUCACCAGUCACCUGUAUGUUUGUGAUUCGAUUUUUGUCAAAUAUCUCGAGAAAAGAGCAUCAAUAGUAGUAUUGUCUCUCGAAGUGGAUUCAUCGUAAAAAGGAUAGCGAGAAUUUUUGCU
rnacentral:misc_RNA from 1 species